rnacentral:lncRNA from 1 species
GCAUGGGCGGGGCUCACGGUGGUUGGGCUGUUGGCGGUUGGGCCGUUGGGCGGUAGGCGUGGUCAGAAUCCAGAGCCCGUUUAUUAUAGCCGGUGGCGGAGGGGGGCUAGCGCCCAGAAAAUUUCCUCAGCAAUGGGAAGUGGUUUGAUUUCUCCUUUUAAAUCAUGCUUUCAGUUGGGGAGGGUUCAGGGGAGAGCAAGCGGAGUUUCAGGGAAGCAGAACCAUGCCAGGUCAGUGGGGGGUACAAGGAAGUUUCACACACUAGGUGAGCUACACAACAUCGUGCAGCUGCAGCAAGUUUACUGCCAAGCAGGAUGUGGGGGUUUUGGGUGCUUUGUUCAAGCGCAAACACUUUGUUCCAGCACAGAUACAAACUGGCACUGAGGCCCAAGAUGGAGUCGGGUUGGCCAUCAUAGACCCUCAUACAAUUAGCGACUUUCCUUUAGGACCUAUAUGUGAACAUCCUCAAUAAAAUACUGGUUAAUUCAGCAAUUAUGCAAAAGACAAAUGAAAAAGUAUACCCACCCUAGAGACUUGUUUUUCUCUAAAUCUUUCUCCAACUUUUCGUCCAGUUCCCCUGCAGCCUUAAAUGUAGUUGAUUUUCUCUUUUUCUCCUGGAAUUGCAAGUAGGCUGUUUGCUCCCGAGUUCCUGAGGGAAGAUGUGUCCCAGAUAAAGAAAGGGUGCCAGGUUCCACAUUGCAAGAUGAAAGCAGCAUUCACUCAUCGUCUUUCCAGCCCUCAGGAUGGGCUGAAAACAGUAGCACUAGAAGGCCAGGCCUGGAACUGCGUGACUUGCGGCUCUUCCCAAACUCUGAAGGGGAAAUCACUGAAUCUUUUCGGGGCACAGAGGCCUCUACUACCCACAGCAGAGGACCCCAGAGUGCUUCACAAAGCAGCUCCUUUCAGGUGUCUUCCCACAGUCAUUUUUCCUGCGUGGCUCUUCAUGCGAGUGCAAUCAGGAAUUGUUGAAGAAAAACGACCCCUUUUGCUUGUUGGACAUGGCAAGCCAGGCUUUAUCUGGGGGGCUACUAUCACAGGGUUUCACAAUGGGGGGCAGAGAUGGGGCUCAACUCUGAGCACAAGCACAAGUGAGAACUGAUGGGUAGCAGAGGGCGGUCCCUGGUGGGAAAGCGCGGGGAGGAAACUCAGAUGGUUGCCUGUAUUUUACACCAAUCCCUUUUCAUUGCUGAGUAGUACACUUUUAUACAAAUUAGCCACGUGUGUCUAACCCUCCUCCCAAGUUUUGUGUAUUACGAAUGAAACAGUGAACGAGUGCUGCUGUGCUAUGUGAGCUUUAAUUUCUCCUGAGCAAAUACCUAGGAGUUCAAUUUCCAGAUCAUAGCAUCGAUGUUGUUACUCUUCUUAUU